rnacentral:rRNA from 1 species
UACGUAGGGGGCAAGCGUUGUCCGGAUUUAUUGGGCGUAAAGAGCGUGUAGGCGGCCUGACAGGUCUGCUGUGAAAACUCGAGGCUCAACCUCGAGAUGUCGGCGGAAACCGUCUGGCUAGAGUCCGGAAGAGGGGAGUGGAAUUCCUGGUGUAGCGGUGAAAUGCGCAGAUAUCAGGAAGAACACCUAUGGCGAAGGCAGCUCUCUGGGACGGUACUGACGCUGAGACGCGAAAGCGUGGGGAGCAAACAGG